rnacentral:rRNA from 1 species
GACCUAGUUAGCGGCGGACGGGUGAGUAACGCGUGAGCAAUCUGCCUUACACAAAGGGAUAGCCUCGGGAAACUGGGAUUAAUACCAUAUAACACUAUGAGAUCGCAUGGUUUUGUAGUCAAAGACUUAUCGGUGUAAGAUGAGCUCACGUCUGAUUAGCUAGUUGGUGGGGUAACGGCCUACCAAGGCAACGAUCAGUAGCCGGCCUGAGAGGGUGAACGGCCACACUGGAACUGAGACACGGUCCAGACUCCUACGGGAGGCAGCAGUGGGGAAUAUUGCACAAUGGGCGGAAGCCUGAUGCAGCGACGCCGCGUGAGCGAAGAAGGUUUUCGGAUCGUAAAGCUCUGUCCUUUGGGAAGAAAAAAAUGACGGUACCAAAGGAGGAAGCCCCGGCUAACUACGUGCCAGCAGCCGCGGUAAUACGUAGGGGGCUAGCGUUGUCCGGAUCUACUGGGCGUAAAGGGUGAGUAGGCGGUAACGUGUGUCAGAUGUUUAAUCUAUGAGCUCAACUCAUAUCAGCAUUUGAAACUACGUAACUUGAGUGCAGGAGAGGUAAGUGGAAUUCCUAGCGUAGCGGUGGAAUGCGUAGAUAUUAGGAGGAACACCGGUGGCGAAGGCGACUUACUGGACUGUAACUGACGCUGAGUCACGAAAGCGUGGGUAGCGAACAGGAUUAGAUACCCUGGUAGUCCACGCCGUAAACGAUGAGUGCUAGGUGUUGGCUGAGAAGUCAGUGCCGAAGUAAACGCAAUAAGCACUCCGCCUGGGGAGUACGGUCGCAAGACUGAAACUCAAAGGAAUUGACGGGGACCCGCACAAGCAGCGGAGCAUGUGGUUUAAUUCGACGCAACGCGAAGAACCUUACCAAGGCUUGACAUCCCCUUGACAGAUGCAGAGAUGUGUCCUCUCCUUCGGGAGCAAGGGAGACAGGUGGUGCAUGGUUGUCGUCAGCUCGUGUCGUGAGAUGUUGGGUUAAGUCCCGCAACGAGCGCAACCCUUGUCAUUAGUUGCCAGCAGAAGAUGGGCACUCUAAUGAGACUGCCGGUGAUAAACCGGAGGAAGGUGGGGAUGACGUCAAAUCAUCAUGCCCCUUAUGUCUUGGGCUACACACGUGCUACAAUGGUCGGAACAAAGGGAAGCGAAGGAGCGAUCCGGAGCAAAACCUCAUAAACCGAUCCCAGUUCGGAUUGCAGGCUGCAACUCGCCUGCAUGAAGUCGGAGUUGCUAGUAAUCGCGAAUCAGAACGUCGCGGUGAAUGCGUUCCCGGGUCUUGUACUCACCGCCCGUCA